AUUGAACGCUGGCGGCAGGACUAACACAUGCAAGUCGAGAGGAUCGGCGGACGGGGGAGUAAUGCCUAGGAAUCUGCCUGGUAGUGGGGGAUAACGUCUGGGACCGGGCGCCAAUACCGCAUACUAGCAGACGUGCCUAGGUGGGAUUGGCUAGUUGGUGGGGUAAAGGCCUACCAUGGCGACGAUCCGUAACUGGUCUGAGAGGAUGAUCAGUCACACUGGAACUGAGACACGGUCCAGACUCCUACGGGAGGCAGCAGUGGGGAAUAUUGGACAAUGGGCGAAAGCCUGAUCCAGCCAUGCCGCGUGUGUGAAGAAGGUCUUCGGAUUGUAAAGCACUUUAAGUUGGGAGGCGUUACCAACAGAAUAAGCACCGGCUAACUUCGUGCCAGCAGCCGCGGUAAUAC
rnacentral:rRNA from 1 species